rnacentral:rRNA from 1 species
UACGAAGGGGGCUAGCGUUGCUCGGAAUCACUGGGCGUAAAGGGCGCGUAGGCGGCCAUUCAAGUCGGGGGUGAAAGCCCAGGGCUCAACCCUGGAAUUGCCUUCGAUACUGUUUGGCUAGAGACCGGAAGAGGUAAGUGGAACUGCGAGUGUAGAGGUGAAAUUCGUAGAUAUUCGCAAGAACACCAGUGGCGAAGGCGGCUUACUGGUCCGGUACUGACGCUGAGACGCGAAAGCGUGGGGAGCGAACAGG